GUAUUACUGGUGAAGAUUGUGGUGAGAGAGAAAUUUUAAGGAAUAAUUUAUUGAAAAAGCCACAAGGAGAAGAGCCACGAGUGACACGUGGAGGAGUCCCAGAGGCUUAGUGGUAUAGAUCCACUGUCUCUUUUGAGUAUUUAAUUUAUGAUUUAUAAUGUGUUAUAUUGCCAAUAUUAGGGCUUUUUGUUUAUUGUCAAUUAUAUGAAUAUAUAAAUGUAAUCAUGUCUUUCAAACUAUUUCUAUUUUUGGUACAAUUUGGAUGACUGUAAUUUUAAUAUUUGGUUUACUUUGGAUUGGUUAAAAUGGCAUGAUUAUAAGGCCAAAUAACUGGCUUGUGUUGAAAA